rnacentral:misc_RNA from 1 species
CUACCAAUGCUUUGACCACUCCUUGAA